CACCAGAAGUUCCCCUAUACUACCAGCGGUUCCAUUGAAAUGUUAACUAAUCCCACUCGUGAAAACCAGAAACCCUAAGUAUGCCAAACCACAACCAGCGAGGAGCACACAAUAUUCCUGAUCAGUCGUGCCGAAGCUGAGGAAAGACAAAAGAUAGUAUAGAGGUGAUCGGAAGAAAGAUAGUAUAGAGGUUAAGUGAACGGAAGAACGGAGAAAUGGGGGAGGAAAGAGUUGAGAUGAGAUUGAAGAAGAGAGAAGUGAUUGGAAUUGGGGAAAUCCAACUUACAGAGCAAGAAAUUAGAUUGAAUUGCGGGAGUCCUGCUGACACUGGAUCCAGUGGAAUCUGCUCCUGGAGACGGCGAGGCCGGGCGGCGGCGACGCGGUCAGGGACGGCGGAGGUUGGUGGCGGUGGUGAGGCUUGGCGGUCUAUGUUGUUAAGGAGAGCGCAACAAAGACAAAGGGACAGAUGCACGAAGCUGAG
rnacentral:lncRNA from 1 species